rfam:Calypte anna contig17766, whole genome shotgun sequence.
UAUCUCUGGUUUCUCUUCACAUCGAACAAAUCUUUCGCCUUUUACUAAAGAUUUCCGUGGAGAGAAACAAAUGCGAGAACUCAACAAUUUUUAGAGGCUUCCCUUUUGGGGAGCU